GACGAACGCUGGCGGCGUGCUUAACACAUGCAAGUCGAACGGAAAGGCCCUGCUUUUGUGGGGUGCUCGAGUGGCGAACGGGUGAGUAACACGUGAGUAACCUGCCCUUGACUUUGGGAUAACUUCAGGAAACUGGGGCUAAUACCGGAUAGGAGCUCCUGCUGCAUGGUGGGGGUUGGAAAGUUUCGGCGGUUGGGGAUGGACUCGCGGCUUAUCAGCUUGUUGGUGGGGUAGUGGCUUACCAAGGCUUUGACGGGUAGCCGGCCUGGGAGGGUGACCGGCCACAUUGGGACUGCGGUACGGCCCAGACGCCUACGGGAGGCAGCAGUGGGGAACAUUGCACAAUGGGCGGAAGCCUGAUGCAGCAACGCCGCGUGCGGGAUGACGGCCUUCGGGUUGUAAACCGCUUUCGCCUGUGACGAAGCGUGAGUGACGGUAAUGGGUAAAGAAGCACCGGCUAACUACGUG
rnacentral:rRNA from 1 species